GGGUGCUUGGCUUCUAAUCCAGCGAUCCUGGGUUUGAAUCCUACUG
rnacentral:tRNA from 1 species